rnacentral:rRNA from 1 species
UGGGGAAUUUUGGGCAAUGGGCGAAAGCCCGACCCAGCAACGCCGCGUGAAGGAUGAAGUAUUUCGGUAUGUAAACUUCGAAAGAAUAGGAAGAAUAAAUGACGGUACUAUUUAUAAGGUCCGGCUAACUACGUGCCAGCAGCCGCGGUAAUACGUAGGGACCAAGCGUUGUUCGGAUUUACUGGGCGUAAAGGGCGCGUAGGCGGCAUGACAAGUCACUUGUGAAAUCUCUGGGCUUAACCCAGAACGGCCAAGUGAUACUGUCGCGCUAGAGUGCAGAAGGGGCAAUCGGAAUUCUUGGUGUAGCGGUGAAAUGCGUAGAUAUCAAGAGGAACACCUGAGGUGAAGACGGGUUGCUGGGCUGACACUGACGCUGAGGCGCGAAAGCCAGGGGAGCAAACGGGGAUUAGAUACCCUGGUAGUCCCUGAGCGGGCUGGCAAGGCGCAU